AACGAACGCUGGCGGCAUGCCUAACACAUGCAAGUCGAACGAGACCUUCGGGUCUAGUGGCGCACGGGUGCGUAACGCGUGGGAAUCUACCCUUGGGUUCGGAAUAACAGUUAGAAAUGACUGCUAAUACCGGAUGAUGACGUAAGCCCAAAGAUUUAUCGCCCAAGGAUGAGCCCGCGUAAGAUUAGCUUGUUGGUGGGGUAAUGGCCUACCAAGGCGACGAUCUUUAGCUGGUCUGAGAGGAUGAUCAGCCACACUGGGACUGAGACACGGCCCAGACUCCUACGGGAGGCGGCAGUGGGGAAUAUUGGACAAUGGGCGAAAGCCUGAUCCAGCAAUGCCGCGUGAGUGAUGAAGGCCUUAGGGUUGUAAAGCCCUUUUACCAGGGAUGAUAAUGACAGUACCUGGAGAAUAAGCUCCGGCUAACUCCGUGCCAGCCGCCGCCGUAA
rnacentral:rRNA from 1 species